rnacentral:tmRNA from 1 species
GGGGACGAUCGGUUUCGACAGGGGUCGUGAGGUCUUCUGGUGCAUGUCGAGGAUGAGAACACUCGUUAAACUUUUUCAAAAAAUAGCUGCAAAUAAUAACAGCGAAUACGCUCUAGCGGCCUAAAACCCGUUAGCCCUUCAGUGUCAUGUGUUGGUGCAUGAUGCAAUGAAGGUCAUAUCACCAAACUUGUUAAUUGUGUUGCCAUUGCGCAGUUAAUCUCGUACUUUCACUGGCUGUCUAGUUACUAACCCUGUUCAUUGGGAUGUAGCUAGGAGAUUAAAAAUGAAACACACAUGUAGUACUAGGGAUUGAUCAUUUCUGGACGCGGGUUCAAUUCCCGCCGUCUCCACCA